rfam:Ictidomys tridecemlineatus contig044252, whole genome shotgun sequence.
GGGGCUUUGGCUCAGUGGUAGAGCACUCGUCUCGCAUGUGUGAGACCCUGGGUUCGAGUCUCAGCACCA